CUCUCUCUGAGUGACCCCUCUCCAUUCCCUAGGGCCGCACUUGCCCUCUGUCCGAGUCUCCUGCAUCGGCGCCUGGACGCGGUGAGGGCACUGUGGGAAGGCAGCCAGCCAGAGAGAGAGCCAUUUCCAGAAACCAAACCAGGUGGCUUCCCGAUCUUGGACUUCCUGCAUCCUGAACUGAGAAAAUAAAUGUUUAUUAUUUAAGCCACACAAUCUAUGAUAUCAGUCCUAGGUUUGUUUAUUUAUUUACUUAGUCCCGGGUUUAAUGCCUAGAAGGGCCAACGCACAGGAGAGAAUGAGGCCCCGGGAAAGAUGCCCCGGGUACUUUGUUACAUUGUGUCAGAUCCUCCACAUUCGCAGGAGAAGCCAGAAAUUCAAGUUUGUCAAGGUUGGCACUAAUUUGAAAAGAUUUUAAGAGGAAAAAAAUAAUUGUACUAUCACGUGAGAGGUGCUGUAACAGGAAAAUGUCUAAGGUACAGUGAGAGUUGAAGGAAGGAGUAGUAAUACAUUCUGGUGGUGGUGAUGGCGGUGCAUCCAGAUGCAGAGAAGUCCUGUUUGAACUAGAUCACGGAGGAUAAAUUGGAGACGGACGAAGACAAGUACUGCGAGGACUGGCUCUUUGGAAAGAGGGAACGGCAACAUAACCCUUGGUAUCGCUCGAGUUCAGAGGAACUUUUACUUUAUGUGAGUCUUCGGCUCUGCCUACGGGGACCUUUACCCGGCAUCAGCGGGAACCACCCUCAGGAGCCCUUUUGUGCUGCCCGGCACGUCCACAGCAAUUAGAGCAAAAGGACAGAGAACCAGUUCUCUAAGAGCAGGAACUUUGUAUGUCUUUGAUCAUUGCUGUCUUCCAGAGCCUAGAACAGAACCUGGCACACAGUAGAUGCUCAAUGUUGUAUUUAUUAAAUGAAUGAAAUUAAAUGGAACAAACAUA